rnacentral:lncRNA from 1 species
UACAUAUGGAUGUUUGAAGACCAAUAAUAUCUCGAUCUAGAGAUGGACACCACAUAUGAGAUAUGGUGUGUUCCUUAAUUUACUUUACAAAUUUUAUUGUCUCUUUCUGAAAAUAUGCCCUAAAAAUUAUUGUAUGUAUUUUGAAUGAGAUACCAUCAAAAUCUGUUACUAGCACUCCAUAUGAGAUAUGAAAAAGGCA